AAGUCGUAACCCUGUGAACCUUCAUACGCGAGCUCUCCAACUGGCCGUGUCGAGCAAUUCCUGGUAACUCACGCAAUCAGAUUGAUUCAGGAACCUCUUGAUGCUUGUGACUCUUGGAUUUGAUGCGGUGUUCGUAACGCUAGACUUGGUUUCCGAAGGCACCUCGGUGCUCAAGGAUAACUACCCUUCAUCGGGUAGAUCAUUCGGUCCUUACGGUCGUGUGAACAAGUCUCUGGGGUGAAAGUCCCCCAAUAUUCACUACCUAAUAAUUCAAUUCGGCGACGCUUAGACGCUCGCACCAAAAACCGAACAACUGUUAACAAUGGAUAUCUUGGUUCUC
rnacentral:misc_RNA from 1 species